rnacentral:rRNA from 1 species
AGCGGACCGACGGGAGCUUGCUCCCUUAGGUCAGCGGCGGACGGGUGAGUAACACGUGGGUAACCUGCCUGUAAGACUGGGAUAACUCCGGGAAACCGGGGCUAAUACCGGAUGCUUGAUUGAACCGCAUGGUUCAAUCAUAAAAGGUGGCUUUUAGCUACCACUUACAGAUGGACCCGCGGCGCAUUAGCUAGUUGGUGAGGUAACGGCUCACCAAGGCGACGAUGCGUAGCCGACCUGAGAGGGUGAUCGGCCACACUGGGACUGAGACACGGCCCAGACUCCUACGGGAGGCAGCAGUAGGGAAUCUUCCGCAAUGGACGAAAGUCUGACGGAGCAACGCCGCGUGAGUGAUGAAGGUUUUCGGAUCGUAAAACUCUGUUGUUAGGGAAGAACAAGUACCGUUCGAAUAGGGCGGUACCUUGACGGUACCUAACCAGAAAGCCACGGCUAACUACGUGCCAGCAGCCGCGGUAAUACGUAGGUGGCAAGCGUUGUCCGGAAUUAUUGGGCGUAAAGCGCGCGCAGGCGGUUUCUUAAGUCUGAUGUGAAAGCCCCCGGCUCAACCGGGGAGGGUCAUUGGAAACUGGGGAACUUGAGUGCAGAAGAGGAGAGUGGAAUUCCACGUGUAGCGGUGAAAUGCGUAGAGAUGUGGAGGAACACCAGUGGCGAAGGCGACUCUCUGGUCUGUAACUGACGCUGAGGCGCGAAAGCGUGGGGAGCGAACAGGAUUAGAUACCCUGGUAGUCCACGCCGUAAACGAUGAGUGCUAAGUGUUAGAGGGUUUCCGCCCUUUAGUGCUGCAGCAAACGCAUUAAGCACUCCGCCUGGGGAGUACGGUCGCAAGACUGAAACUCAAAGGAAUUGACGGGGGCCCGCACAAGCGGUGGAGCAUGUGGUUUAAUUCGAAGCAACGCGAAGAACCUUACCAGGUCUUGACAUCCUCUGACAACCCUAGAGAUAGGGCUUCCCCUUCGGGGGCAGAGUGACAGGUGGUGCAUGGUUGUCGUCAGCUCGUGUCGUGAGAUGUUGGGUUAAGUCCCGCAACGAGCGCAACCCUUGAUCUUAGUUGCCAGCAUUCAGUUGGGCACUCUAAGGUGACUGCCGGUGACAAACCGGAGGAAGGUGGGGAUGACGUCAAAUCAUCAUGCCCCUUAUGACCUGGGCUACACACGUGCUACAAUGGGCAGAACAAAGGGCAGCGAAGCCGCGAGGCUAAGCCAAUCCCACAAAUCUGUUCUCAGUUCGGAUCGCAGUCUGCAACUCGACUGCGUGAAGCUGGAAUCGCUAGUAAUCGCGGAUCAGCAUGCCGC